rnacentral:snRNA from 1 species
ACCGACGGUGUUGAACACAUUAGCGAAUUAUGCUCUCGCCUUUUACUAGAGCAAACCGUGCGUUCGUCACAAUCGUCGGUUCGAAUUUCUUCCUAAACUCUCAUCAUAGAGUAU